rnacentral:lncRNA from 1 species
UAAGUUCGUAUGGUUAAAAUUUAACAUUUGUAUAAAUUGAUGAUUGAUAUUAUAUAUAUGUUCUAUUGUUGGAAAUGAAUUAUGGUUGGAAUUAUAUUAUCGAUUUUAAUACUCGGUUUGGAUUGAACGCGAGAUUUGAGUACAUUUGUGUUUGGUGUAUGACCGGGGUGUGGAGUGGAGAUGGUAUUGGAGGGAGAUAUCGGCAU